rnacentral:rRNA from 1 species
GGUUGAUCCUGCCAGUAGCAUACGCUUGUCUCAAAGAUUAAGCCAUGCAUGUCUAAGUAUAAACAAGUCUAUACGGUGAAACUGCGAAUGGCUCAUUAAAUCAGUUAUAAUUUAUUUGAUUAUCUCUUUACUACUUGGAUAACCGUGGUAAUUCUAGAGCUAAUACAUGCAAAAAGCCCGACUUCUGGAAGGGUUGUAUUUAUUAGAUAAAAACCAAUGGGCUCGUCCCUCCUGGUGAUUCAUAAUAACUUUGCGGAUCGUAUGGCCUUGCGCCGACGACAUUUCAUUCAAA